UCAUUUCUUAUGGUGUUGCAAAAGAAAGGACAUGAAGUGUGGCGGAUUUAAUGAAGAAGUUAGAUCACAGCUAAGCGCAUGCCUUUGGAUCUGUUCUUGUCCCACAACCCCAAGACAUCUGUCACUGCACUGAUGUUGCCAAGUAAUUUUCCUGGACUACAAGAAUUUGUAAGGACUGUGGAUUUAGCUCAGCGGCACAGCAUCUGCCUGGCAAGCGCAAGGUAGUGAGUUUGAUUCCUGGUACCAGAAAAAAAAGAAAAAAAAAAAAAAAAGAAUUUGUAAAAUAUUGGCCUAGUUUUUUGAAAAAUGGAAUAAAAUUGUUAUUGAUCUUAGCAGAUAUUUGCC
rnacentral:lncRNA from 1 species